rnacentral:tRNA from 1 species
GGCCGUGUGGCGAAGCUGGUUAACGCGGCGGUCUGCAAAACCGCUAUACGCCGGUUCAAGCCCGGCCACGGCCUCCA